AUGAGUGAUCAUGAGCCCAUAUUUAAUUCAUAUGCGGUAGAAUCUACUAGUGUUGAUGAGGAACUAGUUUGUGUGGAUAUUUAUGACCCAAGCAAUUGGGGUAAUCUUGAUAACAAAGCGAGGGACAUAUUAGUGGAAAAGGGGCCUAAAGUGGAAGAAGAAAACAAUAAAUAUCCUUUGGAUGAAAAUUCAAGACAUUUUUCGUAUAGCCAUUAUUACUCCAGAAAGAUGAGCAAUGGAGAGGUGCGUGAUAGGAAAUGGUUAGUUUUUUCAAAACACACAAAGAAAGUGUUUCGUUUUCGCUGUAAGCUUUUCAAUUCUGAUAAAUGCAAGAGUGCAAUGGGGAAUGAUGGGUUUUGUGAUUGGAGGCAUAUUAGUGAAAGACUGAAAGAGCACGAAGCUAGUGAUUUUGCAUCUCAGAAUGUUAGGAGAAAUAUUUGA
rnacentral:rRNA from 1 species